rnacentral:rRNA from 1 species
UGGGGAAUAUUGCACAAUGGACGGAAGUCUGAUGCAGCAACGCCGCGUGCGGGAUGACGGCCUUCGGGUUGUAAACCGCUUUUUCUCAUGACGAAGUUUUUUGACGGUAGUGGGGGAAGAAGCACCGGCUAACUACGUGCCAGCAGCCGCGGUGAUACGUAGGGUGCGAGCGUUGUCCGGAAUUAUUGGGCGUAAAGAGCUUGUAGGCGGUUUGUCGCGUCGAUAGUGCAAACUCAGUGCUUAACGCUGAGCCUGCUGUUGAUACGGGCAGACUAGAGGAAGGUAGGGGAAAAUGGAAUUCCCGGUGGAGCGGUGGAAUGCGCAGAUAUCGGGAGGAACACCGGUGGCGAAGGCGGUUCUCUGGGCCUUUCCUGACGCUGAGAAGCGAAAGCGUGGGGAGCGAACAGG